rnacentral:rRNA from 1 species
AGAGUUUGAUCCUGGCUCAGAUUGAACGCUGGCGGUAUGCUUAACACAUGCAAGUCGAACGGAAACGAAACUAGCUUGCUAGUAGGCGUCGAGUGGCGGACGGGUGAGUAACGCGUAGGAAUCUGCCUGAUAGUGGGGGAUAGCCCGAAGAAAUUCGGAUUAAUACCGCAUAAUCUAUUCGUAGUAAAGUGGGGGACUUUCGAGCCUCACGCUAUCAGAUGAGCCUGCGUAAGAUUAGCUUGUUGGUAGGGUAAAAGCCUACCAAGGCAACGAUCUUUAGCUGGUCUGAGAGGAUGAUCAGCCACAUCGGGACUGAGACACGGCCCGAACUCCUACGGGAGGCAGCAGUGGGGAAUAUUGGACAAUGGGGGCAACCCUGAUCCAGCAAUACCGCGUGUGUGAAGAAGGCCUGAGGGUUGUAAAGCACUUUCAAUUGUGAAGAAAAGUUAGCGGUUAAUAACCGUUGACCUUGACGUUAACUAUAGAAGAAGCACCGGCUAACUCCGUGCCAGCAGCCGCGGUAAUACGGAGGGUGCAAGCGUUAAUCGGAAUUACUGGGCGUAAAGCGUGCGUAGGCGGUUUAUUAAGUCAGAUGUGAAAGCCCCGGGCUUAACCUGGGAACUGCAUUUGAAACUGGUCAACUAGAGUAUGGUAGAGGAAAGUGGAAUUUCUGGUGUAGCGGUGAAAUGCGUAGAUAUCAGAAGGAACAUCAAUGGCGAAGGCAGCUUUCUGGACCAAUACUGACGCUGAGGUACGAAAGCGUGGGUAGCAAACAGGAUUAGAUACCCUGGUAGUGCACGCCGUAAACGAUGAUAACUAGCCGUUGGGGGGAUUUACCCCUUAGUGGCGAAGCUAACGCGUUAAGUUAUCCGCCUGGGGAGUACGGCCGCAAGGCUAAAACUCAAAGGAAUUGACGGGGACCCGCACAAGCGGUGGAGCAUGUGGUUUAAUUCGAUGCAACGCGAAGAACCUUACCUGGUCUUGACAUCCUGCGAACUUUCUAGAAAUAGAUUGGUGCCUUCGGGAACGCAGUGACAGGUGCUGCAUGGCUGUCGUCAGCUCGUGUCGUGAGAUGUUGGGUUAAGUCCCGUAACGAGCGCAACCCCUAUCCUUAUUUGCCAGCACAUUAUGGUGGGAACUAUAAGGAGACUGCCGGUGAUAAACCGGAGGAAGGCGGGGACGACGUCAAGUCAUCAUGGCCCUUACGACCAGGGCUACACACGUGCUACAAUGGGAAGAACAAAGAGCCGCGAAGCCGCGAGGUGUAGCUAAUCUCAUAAAUCUUUUCGUAGUCCGGAUUGGAGUCUGCAACUCGACUCCAUGAAGUCGGAAUCGCUAGUAAUCGUAGAUCAGAAUGCUACGGUGAAUACGUUCCCGGGUCUUGUACACACCGCCCGUCAUACCAUGGGAGUGGGUUGCACCAGAAGUGAUUAGUCUAACUUAGUGAGGACGGUCACCACGGUGUGAUUCAUGACUGGGGUAAAGUCGUAACAAGGUAACC